rnacentral:ribozyme from 1 species
UCUUCUUUUUUGUCUUCUUCUUUGGAGUUGUAGUUUUUCUUUUUCUUUAGCAACUCCAAAGAAAAGAGAAGACAAAAAGAAAAGAAGAACACCAGAAAGGAGAAGAUAGAGCAAAGAAAUGAAUUAAUCCUGAUAAGAAAAAAGAUAAGAGUUGUAAUUUCUUUUCUAAUUCCU